rnacentral:rRNA from 1 species
GAGCAAACAGGAUUAGAUACCCUGGUAGUCCACGCUGUAAACGAUCGAUACUAGGUGUGCGGGGACUGACCCCCUGCGUGCCGGAGUUAACACAAUAAGUAUCGCACCUGGGGAGUACGAUCGCAAGGUUGAAACUCAAAGGAAUUGACGGGGGCCCGCACAAGCGGUGGAUUAUGUGGUUUAAUUAGAAGCAACGCGAAGAACCUCACCAGGGCUUGACAUCUUGCUAACGAAGUAGAGAUACAUUAGGUGCCCUUCGGGGAAAGCAGAGACAGGUGGUGCAUGGUUGUGGUCAGCUCGUGUCGUGAGACGUUGGGUUAAGUCCCGCACCGAGCGCAACCCCUAUCGUUGGUUGCUACGCAAGAGCACUCUAGCGAGAGUGCCGUUGACAAAACGGAGGAAGGCGGGGACGACGUCAAAUCAUCAUGCCCCUUCUGUCCUGGGCUGCACACCUAAUACAAUGGCGGUUAACAACAGGGAUGCAAAGCCGCGAGGCAGAGCGAACCCCAAAAAGCCGUCCCAGUUCGGAUCGCAGGCUGCAACCCGCCUGCGUGAAGUCGGAAUCGCUAGUAAUCGCGGAUCAGCAUACCGCGGUGAAUACGUUCCCGGGCCUUGCACACACCGCCCGUCAAG